rnacentral:rRNA from 1 species
AGCUUGCUCCUUGAGAUUAGCGGCGGACGGGUGAGUAACACGUGGGCAACCUGCCCUGCAGAUGGGGAUAACUCCGGGAAACCGGGGCUAAUACCGAAUAAUCAAUUCCUUCGCAUGAAGGAAUUCUGAAAGACGGUUUCGGCUGUCACUGCAGGAUGGGCCCGCGGCGCAUUAGCUAGUUGGUGGGGUAAUGGCCUACCAAGGCAACGAUGCGUAGCCGACCUGAGAGGGUGAUCGGCCACACUGGGACUGAGACACGGCCCAGACUCCUACGGGAGGCAGCAGUAGGGAAUCUUCCACAAUGGACGAAAGUCUGAUGGAGCAAUGCCGCGUGAGUGAAGAAGGUUUUCGGAUCGUAAAGCUCUGUUGCGAGGGAAGAACACGUACGGGAGUAACUGCCCGUACCUUGACGGUACCUCGUCAGAAAGCCACGGCUAACUACGUGCCAGCAGCCGCGGUAAUACGUAGGUGGCAAGCGUUGUCCGGAAUUAUUGGGCGUAAAGCGCGCGCAGGCGGUCCUUUAAGUCUGAUGUGAAAGCCCACGGCUCAACCGUGGAGGGUCAUUGGAAACUGGGGGACUUGAGUACAGAAGAGGAAAGCGGAAUUUCCACGUGUAGCGGUGAAAUGCGUAGAGAUGUGGAGGAACACCAGUGGCGAAGGCGGCUUUCUGGUCUGUAACUGACGCUGAGGCGCGAAAGCGUG